UCUUUCUCCCCCUCUGGGUGGAAUCGCUGGGUUUCUUCCCUAUUCUUCCGGACAGCGGCAGCCCCUGGAGACAGUCCUUGGCUCGCUGUGUCCCCACGUCCUGUUGGUAAACAGGAAGACAGGCUUUGCUUCAGGAAGUAGGCGGAUUCCAGUGGGACGUGGCUCUGUGUACCUGCCGGUGGCCAGGAGAAAAUGUCAGAUCCGCCCCGAGGGUCUCCCAGGUGUUUGCCCACGAGGGUGGAGACGCCCUCUGGGACCUGGGCUCCUUCGAGGAGAGCAGACUUCACCAUUACCAGUGGGGACAUUUUGGAAAAAGAGAAAGUGUGGUAGGAAAAAAACGACCAUCAUAUGCCUCGUGGAGAGGUCGCACGGGCUGGGGUCCCAGUCUUCUGCACGGCUCGAACCCGGGCCCCAGCAGCAGCACGGCAGUGAGCUCCCGAGAGCCUGGCGGGACUUCUGGUCACAGCGACAUCCCCCGUGCGUGGCAGCCUGAGCCUGAUCUGCUGCGACACAAGCUACAGGACAGUUUCCCCACAUUUUCACGGAGGGCCUCUGUAGUUGUAUUGGUUUGUCUUUCCCGGCUUGGUUGUUUUUCUCUUAUAACUAAAUGUCUUCCUCCUUGUUUUGUGUCUAGCCUGUCUCUUCAGGUCUUUACCAGUGACCAGAUGGUGCACGUGCGCGUACAGAAAGAAGAAGGGUUGGAACUCUCUGGAGCCCCCCCUCCUGGAAGCCUUCGG